rnacentral:rRNA from 1 species
CUACGGGCGGCUGCAGUGAGGAAUUUUGGGCAAUGGGGGCAACCCUGACCCAGCGACGCCGCGUGCAGGAUGACGGCCCUUCGGGUUGUAAACUGCUUUCGGGUAUGAAGAAAAGCCUUAUUAAAGGCUGGGACAGUAGUACCAUAAGAAGCACCGGCUAACUACGUGCCAGCAGCCGCGGUAAUACAGAGGUGGCGAACGUUGUUCGGGUUUACUGGGCGUAAAGGGUCCGCAGGCGGCUCGGUGUGUCGGAUGUGAAAGCUCACAGCUCAACUGUGGAAUUGCAUUCGAAACUGCCGGGCUAGAGUACUGGAGGGGAGAAGGGAACACUUGGUGUAGCGGUGAAAUGCGUAGAUAUCAAGUGGAACACCGGUGGCGAAGGCGCUUCUCUGGACAGAUACUGACGCUCAUGGACGAAAGUUUGGGUAGCGAAAGGGAUUAGAUACCCCAGUAGUC